AGUGAACGCUGGCGGUAGGCCUAAUACAUGCAAGUCGAACGGCAGCACAGUAAGAGCUUGCUCUUACGGGUGGCGAGUGGCGGACGAGUGAGGAAUACAUCGGAAUCUACUUUUUCGUGGGGGAUAACGUAGGGAAACUUACGCUAAUACCGCAUACGACCUACGGGUGAAAGCAGGGGAUCUUCGGACCUUGCGCGAUUGAAUGAGCCGAUGUCGGAUUAGCUAGUUGGCGGGGUAAAGGCCCACCAAGGCGACGAUCCGUAGCUGGUCUGAGAGGAUGAUCAGCCACACUGGAACUGAGACACGGUCCAGACUCCUACGGGAGGCAGCAGUGGGGAAUAUUGGACAAUGGGCGCAAGCCUGAUCCAGCCAUACCGCGUGGGUGAAGAAGGCCUUCGGGUUGUAAAGCCCUUUUGUUGGGAAAGAAAAGCAGCAGGUUAAUACCCCGCUGUUCUGACGGUACCCAAAGAAUAAGCACCGGCUAACUUCGUG
rnacentral:rRNA from 1 species